rnacentral:rRNA from 1 species
UACAGAGGUCUCAACCGUUGUUCGGAUUCAUUGGGCGUAAAGGGUGCGUAGGCGGUCGCGCAAGUCGGAUGUGAAAUCUCAGGGCUCAACCCUGAAACUGCAUUCGAUACUGCGCGGCUAGAGUGCUGGAGGGGAGACUGGAAUUUACGGUGUAGCAGUGAAAUGCGUAGAUAUCGUAAGGAAGACCAGUGGCGAAGGCGAGUCUCUGGACAGCAACUGACGCUGAGGCACGAAGGCCAGGGGAGCAAACGGG